UGGACCAAGAGAAGGAACCAGCUUUGGAAC
rnacentral:piRNA from 1 species